CCCUGAUGAACAGGAUCGACCCAGUCUUCUUGAAGAUACAGAGGCGGUGGAAACAGCCCUCGUGGUGCUUCAUCAGCAUGCACUAGAAGUCAGCUGCACAGCAGAAGAAAUGCCUAAGAUCACGUUGCUGUCGUGACUAAUCUCUGAGAAGAACAGUUCGUAGAUGAAAGGGAAAGUAUCUCCAGAGCUCUCACAACCAGGAACAGGGUGCGCACCGGCUCCAUGCACACAGUUGAAAUGCAGACAUCUCCUGAGAUGUGACUUGUUGAAAGAAAGAAAAGAAAGAAAGAAAGAAAGAAAGAAAGAAAGAAAGAAAGAAAGAAAGAGGAAGAGAAAAGAAAAAAGAAAGAAAAGAAAAGAAAAGAAAAAAGAAAAAAGAAACAGUAAAAGCACUGAAAAGGACUGGGGCACCAUGGGACAGAAACAGCACCAGAAAAUAAAAUAAUUGACCAGUUUCUGAGGA